UACGUAGGGGGCGAGCGUUAUUCGGAAUUAUUGGGCGUAAAGGGCGUGUAGGCGGCUGUACAAGUCAGAGGUGAAAUCCCUCGGCUCAACUGAGGAACUGCCUUUGAAACUGUACGGCUUGAGGCCGGGAGGGGGUAGCGGAAUUCCCAGUGUAGCGGUGAAAUGCGUAGAUACUGGGAGGAACACCAGUGGCGAAGGCGGCUACCUGGACCGGUUCUGACGCUGAGGCGCGAAAGCGUGGGUAGCAAACAGG
rnacentral:rRNA from 1 species